UGCAGUCGAACGAUGAAGCCCAGCUUGCUGGGUGGAUUAGUGGCGAACGGGUGAGUAACACGUGAGUAACCUGCCCCUGACUCCGGGAUAAGCGUUGGAAACGACGUCUAAUACUGGAUAUGAUCACCGGCCGCAUGGUCUGGUGGUGGAAAGAUUUUUUGGUUGGGGAUGGACUCGCGGCCUAUCAGCUUGUUGGUGAGGUAAUGGCUCACCAAGGCGACGACGGGUAGCCGGCCUGAGAGGGUGACCGGCCACACUGGGACUGAGACACGGCCCAGACUCCUACGGGAGGCAGCAGUGGGGAAUAUUGCACAAUGGGCGAAAGCCUGAUGCAGCAACGCCGCGUGAGGGAUGACGGCCUUCGGGUUGUAAACCUCUUUUAGUAGGGAAGAAGCGAAAGUGACGGUACCUGCAGAAAAAGCACCGGCUAACUACGUGCCAGCAGCCGCGGUAAUACGUAGGGUGCAAGCGUUGUCCGGAAUUAUUGGGCGUAAAGAGCUCGUAGGCGGUUUGUCGCGUCUGCUGUGAAAUCCCGAGGCUCAACCUCGGGCUUGCAGUGGGUACGGGCAGACUAGAGUGCGGUAGGGGAGAUUGGAAUUCCUGGUGUAGCGGUGGAAUGCGCAGAUAUCAGGAGGAACACCGAUGGCGAAGGCAGAUCUCUGGGCCGUAACUGACGCUGAGGAGCGAAAGCAUGGGGAGCGAACAGGAUUAGAUACCCUGGUAGUCCAUGCCGUAAACGUUGGGCGCUAGAUGUAGGGACCUUUCCACGGUUUCUGUGUCGUAGCUAACGCAUUAAGCGCCCCGCCUGGGGAGUACGGCCGCAAGGCUAAAACUCAAAGGAAUUGACGGGGGCCCGCACAAGCGGCGGAGCAUGCGGAUUAAUUCGAUGCAACGCGAAGAACCUUACCAAGGCUUGACAUACACCGGAAACGGCCAGAGAUGGUCGCCCCCUUGUGGUCGGUGUACAGGUGGUGCAUGGUUGUCGUCAGCUCGUGUCGUGAGAUGUUGGGUUAAGUCCCGCAACGAGCGCAACCCUCGUUCUAUGUUGCCAGCGCGUUAUGGCGGGGACUCAUAGGAGACUGCCGGGGUCAACUCGGAGGAAGGUGGGGAUGACGUCAAAUCAUCAUGCCCCUUAUGUCUUGGGCUUCACGCAUGCUACAAUGGCCGGUACAAAGGGCUGCGAUACCGUAAGGUGGAGCGAAUCCCAAAAAGCCGGUCUCAGUUCGGAUUGAGGUCUGCAACUCGACCUCAUGAAGUCGGAGUCGCUAGUAAUCGCAGAUCAGCAACGCUGCGGUGAAUACGUUCCCGGGCCUUGUACACACCGCCCGUCAAGUCAUGAAAGUCGGUAACACCCGAAGCCGGUGGCCCAACC
rnacentral:rRNA from 1 species